rnacentral:tRNA from 1 species
UCCUUGGUGGUCCAGUGGUUAGGACUUGGUGCUUUCACUACCAUAGUUCCAGGUUCAAUCUCUAGUCAGAGAA